CACGUAGGGCGCAAGCGUUGUCCGGAAUUAUUGGGCGUAAAGAGCUCGUAGGCGGUCUGUCGCGUCGGCUGUGAAAACCCGGGGCUCAACCCCGGGCCUGCAGUCGAUACGGGCAGACUAGAGUGCGGUAGGGGAGACUGGAAUUCCUGGUGUAGCGGUGAAAUGCGCAGAUAUCAGGAGGAACACCGGUGGCGAAGGCGGGUCUCUGGGCCGUAACUGACGCUGAGGAGCGAAAGCGUGGGGAAGCGAACAGG
rnacentral:rRNA from 1 species